AUGCUAUUCAUCAAAAAGCAGUUUGUUUCUUUACUUUCAAAAAUUAGUUUGUUUGUUUCUUUGCUUUACAAACACAGUCUUCCUCAACUUGUUAGUCCCUAAGAGCGCGUUUGGUUGUUAGGUUUUGGUCAGAUUAUUAUUUUUAACUGCAAUAUACAUAAUGUUUGGUUAAUAUAUCUUUCUUUUCUAUGGCCCGUGUUUAAAGUGCUAGGCCCGCACUAUUCAUUUAAUAUUCGACGUGGUAGAAUCGCGAUUUUUUUGGGUGUUUUGAUCUGCGUGCCGGAUUAACACCCCUUUUUCCCCAAUUGCCCAUUCUCAUUAUUGCAAUUCGAAUUUGGUCAAGCAACUCAAGGUGCGAAACCUCUUCCACACACGGGAAGAAAGUGGUUGUCCUCUUCACCCGGCGCCGGAAGUUUAUGCACAAGGGCUCGAUUUAGCCUGCGCAAGCACAAAGCUAAAGCCGCCUCUCAAGGAUCUCGCUUAGCAGAAGAUAUUGGUUGUCCUCAGUACUCGUCGGUGGAAUUUCAUUCGAAGGGAAUCGAUUUAGAUCGCUGAAGGUAAUGUCGUCCUUUUGCAACCAUAUUAUGCAAAUCUGCAUACGUUUCAGUUUGAUUUUUAUGAGUAAUCGUUUGGAUCUAGUUUUUAAAAAGUAUCAAGUGCUUCUAUGUGUCUCCUUUUAGUGUGAAUCCCUUUAUACUUUGCGAAUAGUACUUUUGAUUUCUGUUGAUGAGCUUUUCAAUUAGUCUAUGUGUUCUCUCGGUACAAAUGUGUCGAAUACUCCAUGGGCUUUUUUGCAGAGUUUGUUGUAAUGGGUAGACAAUUAAAUUGGUAAUUUCUUGUUUGUGACCAUCAAUAUGAUUAUAGCUGUUCAGAUCUACUGUACGUGUGGUGUGACGAUAAUUUCUUUGGUUAUUCCAAUGUCUUAUUCUGAAACUUUUGUUGGUGCAGUAGCUUGAUCCUGCUGCUAGUAUUACCAUAUGUGGUAAUGGCUCGUCCAUUUCGUUUUUCCAAAGUCGUGUACCUCAUGGUAGAAGAGAUAGUGCAUCUCUUACAUAUGCACACGCUUAUCCUGUUGCACGUAUAUCUGAAAGAAUUGCACGUUGCGGCCGGUGUAAUAGGCAGAAUCUAAUUAGGUAUUCGCAUAAGAUAGGAUGCCCCAACAAGUAAGACAUAUGAAUAGACUCACAAAAAUUAGUGACAUAGAUUGUUUCGUGAACUUACGCAUGGAUAGUAACACAUUUGGUCGUUUAUGUAUCCUGUUAAGAGACGUUGGUGGGCUGCGAGAUGGAAGAUAUGUAUUACUAGAGGAACAAGUAGCUAUUUUUCUAAGUAUCUUAGCUCACCACAAGAAAAUUCGUCCUUCUGGUUUUGAUUUUAAGCGGUCCGAGGAAACAAUAUCGCAUUACGUCCAUCUUGUGCUGAAGGCAAUUCUUAGACUUCAUACCAUUCUCCUGCCACAACCCGAUCCUGUAACGAACACUUAAGUUGAUCAUCGGUGAAAACAUUUUAAGGGUUGUAUUGGCGCUUUGGAUGGGACAUACAUAAAUGUCCUUGUCAGUAAAGUGGAGAAGCCACGCUAUCGAUCUCGGAAGGGGCAAAUAUCCACAAACACUCUGGCGGCAUGCGUCUGAAACAUGAGAUUCUUGUAUUUUCUACUCGGGUGGGAGGGUUCCGACGGCGAUUCUCGAGUGCUAAGGGAUGCCGUCAGUAGAGACAGGGGAUUGAGGGUGCCCAGAGGUUUAAACACACCAUUGUCUUUGACACUUGUCGGUUUUUUCAAAAUUGAUUCUUCUUUCUUUAUAAGUACAUCACCAUCCUGACCGAUUGUGGUAUUUUUAGGAAAUUACUUUCUAAGCGAUAAUGGAUAUGGAAAUUAUGAAGGAUUCCUGACGCCGUUCAAAAAUGUCUGUUACCAUUUGAAGGAAUGGGGCGUCGAUACCCAAAGAACCCAAAAUGCUCGUGAAUUGUUUAACUUAAGACAUAAUAAAGCUCGUAACAUUAUCGAGCAAGCUUUUGCAGUUCUUAAAAUGAGAUGGGGCAUUCUGCGAAGUGCUAGUUUCUAUCCGAUCAAGAUCCAAAUCCGGAUGAUAAUGGCUUGCUUCUUACUCCACAAUUUUAUUCGUGGUGAGAUGACCAACGACCCAAUAGAACAGGAAAUUGCAAGUGACAUACAGAUUGGCAUUGUAGAUGAUGUUGAUGGUGAAAUUGAAUAUGUUGAUCAAGUAGAGACAACAACUGUUUGGACUCAAAAGAGGGAAGAUUUGGCUAACUCAAUGUGGAACAAUGUGUGUAUUGCCAUGUAGUUUAGAUAUAAAAUGUGCUAUAAAAUUUGCUUUCUUUUUGAUCUGUAUUGUUCUAAUUAAGUCAGGUUUAACACACUCUGAUCUUUUAUCCGUUGUUUGUAAUUUACAACCUCCUAAUGUCGACGACAACAACCGAUAGUGACAUGAUACCCGAGUGUGUUUGUGGUCGAGGCAAGAUGAAGUUGUUACGUGCUGGGAAAGAUGCCAAACACUGCGGUAGGUUGUUUUACAAGUGUCCGACUGAUGCAAACCAAUCAGGGUCUUUCUUGUGGUGUGACGAAUAUCAUAGUAGGAUUGGUGAUGGCACGCAACCCGACUACGUCUUGAACCAAACGUACCGCCCUACAAAGACAGUGCGCAACAUAGAUGAUGAGAAGAAUAAAAUGAGAGCUAACAGUGGACACGUUUGUGGAGUUUGUGGCCGAUGCCAAGCUGAAAUUAGAAUGAACUUUGUGUUGGUUUCAUGGGUUUGGUAUUGUAAUUGUUGGGGGUUGUUUUAGGGAAACUAUUCUAGUUUGCACUUGGACUUAUAUUUAAAUUUGAAUUGUAGGAUGCCCUCACUGCAUGAACUUAUUGACGGUGGUUUAUAUAUUUAACCUAUUUAACUAUUUUGCAAUACAUAUCAAUGUUGUGGUGUUGUUUAUGCAUUUCUUGCCAAGGUUGUUGUUUUGCCUUUGAUCGUAGAAUAUUUCAACUGAAUUUUUAUAGCAUAUAGCUUUGUUUAUGCAGUAUUCCAUUGAUUGAGUUCAAUGGUAGUGGGUAAAGCAUUGAAUGUGAACUCCUUUUGGGUCAAUAUUUUUGCCUAGCAUUGGAGAGAUUUGAGGUCAUUAUGUUUACUUGGCAAUUGAAGAAAGUGGAUUGGACAUGAACCAACCCAACAUAGGCGACAUUACUCAUUAGCUAGAGGAAUGGUUGCGGGGGCUCUGUUUUCCCCAGCCACUUCAUAACCGAGGCAAAGAUCGCGAUCGAAAAGCAGCUUGGUCUUGUAUUUGAGUGGUAUGACAUUGUGGAUAGUCUGCAUUUUCUGGAGAAGUGAUAUAAUACUUUUAAUAAGAUCGUAGCGUUGGAGGGGACCUACUAGAACGCGGCGACGAACAUCGUAAUUGUUGCUGCCCCCAAUUAGCCGCAAGUGCUUGAGCGAAAGUCACUUCUCGGAGCUUAUAACCGACGUGGCGAUCCCUCAUAUAAUCAACUCAACGAGCUGUUCGGACUGAAAGCCGUCAAAGAGGAACAAGAGAACACGAUGAUCGUGCUGAGUGACUCUCAAACUCAAGAACUGGUGCACGCUGGGAAAGAAAUGACGGCCCCCCGGAUGUUGUUGUUGGAAAUAUUGUAGCCUUUUACACGGGCAAACUCUUGCUAUUACAAAAGAGCCAAAAA